AAAAAGGGUGUUUGCCACUUAAUGGUACAUGUAUCCUUAUGGGUACGUGGGGUAUGGCAAUCAAGACAUACCCGGCACAUAAUUUUUGUUAAUGAGGGGCUGUUUCUUGCCAAGUUGCAGAGGCGCCCCC